rnacentral:rRNA from 1 species
GGGUUGUGAGGUUAAGCGACUAAGCGUACACGGUGGAUGCCCUGGCAGUCAGAGGCGAUGAAGGACGUGCUAAUCUGCGAUAAGCGUCGGUAAGGUGAUAUGAACCGUUAUAACCGGCGAUUUCCGAAUGGGGAAACCCAGUGUGUUUCGACACACUAUCAUUAACUGAAUCCAUAGGUUAAUGAGGCGAACCGGGGGAACUGAAACAUCUAAGUACCCCGAGGAAAAGAAAUCAACCGAGAUUCCCCCAGUAGCGGCGAGCGAACGGGGAGCAGCCCAGAGCCUGAAUCAGUGUGUGUGUUAGUGGAAGCGUCUGGAAAGGCGCGCGAUACAGGGUGACAGCCCCGUACACAAAAAUGCACAUACUGUGAGCUCGAUGAGUAGGGCGGGACACGUGGUAUCCUGUCUGAAUAUGGGGGGACCAUCCUCCAAGGCUAAAUACUCCUGACUGACCGAUAGUGAACCAGUACCGUGAGGGAAAGGCGAAAAGAACCCCGGCGAGGGGAGUGAAAAAGAACCUGAAACCGUGUACGUACAAGCAGUGGGAGCACGCUUCGGCGUGUGACUGCGUACCUUUUGUAUAAUGGGUCAGCGACUUAUAUUCUGUAGCAAGGUUAACCGAAUAGGGGAGCCGAAGGGAAACCGAGUCUUAACUGGGCGUUAAGUUGCAGGGUAUAGACCCGAAACCCGGUGAUCUAGCCAUGGGCAGGUUGAAGGUUGGGUAACACUAACUGGAGGACCGAACCGACUAAUGUUGAAAAAUUAGCGGAUGACUUGUGGCUGGGGGUGAAAGGCCAAUCAAACCGGGAGAUAGCUGGUUCUCCCCGAAAGCUAUUUAGGUAGCGCCUCGUGAAUUCAUCUCCGGGGGUAGAGCACUGUUUCGGCAAGGGGGUCAUCCCGACUUACCAACCCGAUGCAAACUGCGAAUACCGGAGAAUGUUAUCACGGGAGACACACGGCGGGUGCUAACGUCCGUCGUGAAGAGGGAAACAACCCAGACCGCCAGCUAAGGUCCCAAAGUCAUGGUUAAGUGGGAAACGAUGUGGGAAGGCCCAGACAGCCAGGAUGUUGGCUUAGAAGCAGCCAUCAUUUAAAGAAAGCGUAAUAGCUCACUGGUCGAGUCGGCCUGCGCGGAAGAUGUAACGGGGCUAAACCAUGCACCGAAGCUGCGGCAGCGACACUAUGUGUUGUUGGGUAGGGGAGCGUUCUGUAAGCCUGUGAAGGUGUACUGUGAGGUAUGCUGGAGGUAUCAGAAGUGCGAAUGCUGACAUAAGUAACGAUAAAGCGGGUGAAAAGCCCGCUCGCCGGAAGACCAAGGGUUCCUGUCCAACGUUAAUCGGGGCAGGGUGAGUCGACCCCUAAGGCGAGGCCGAAAGGCGUAGUCGAUGGGAAACAGGUUAAUAUUCCUGUACUUGGUGUUACUGCGAAGGGGGGACGGAGAAGGCUAUGUUGGCCGGGCGACGGUUGUCCCGGUUUAAGCGUGUAGGCUGGUUUUCCAGGCAAAUCCGGAAAAUCAAGGCUGAGGCGUGAUGACGAGGCACUACGGUGCUGAAGCAACAAAUGCCCUGCUUCCAGGAAAAGCCUCUAAGCAUCAGGUAACAUUAAAUCGUACCCCAAACCGACACAGGUGGUCAGGUAGAGAAUACCAAGGCGCUUGAGAGAACUCGGGUGAAGGAACUAGGCAAAAUGGUGCCGUAACUUCGGGAGAAGGCACGCUGAUAUGUAGGUGAAGUCCCUCGCGGAUGGAGCUGAAAUCAGUCGAAGAUACCAGCUGGCUGCAACUGUUUAUUAAAAACACAGCACUGUGCAAACACGAAAGUGGACGUAUACGGUGUGACGCCUGCCCGGUGCCGGAAGGUUAAUUGAUGGGGUUAGCGGUAACGCGAAGCUCUUGAUCGAAGCCCCGGUAAACGGCGGCCGUAACUAUAACGGUCCUAAGGUAGCGAAAUUCCUUGUCGGGUAAGUUCCGACCUGCACGAAUGGCGUAAUGAUGGCCAGGCUGUCUCCACCCGAGACUCAGUGAAAUUGAACUCGCUGUGAAGAUGCAGUGUACCCGCGGCAAGACGGAAAGACCCCGUGAACCUUUACUAUAGCUUGACACUGAACAUUGAGCCUUGAUGUGUAGGAUAGGUGGGAGGCUUUGAAGUGUGGA